AUGUUUUUGCAAAUGCUCAAUGUUCAAAUGCACUAUCAAAGAAAUAUUUUAUUGAUAUAAAGUGUGAGCUUAAACGCUGUGUCUAUGCUGUGGUUCGUGUAGGCUUUGGGUAGA